rnacentral:rRNA from 1 species
GAGGAAUAUUGGACAAUGGGUGCAAGCCUGAUCCAGCCAUCCCGCGUGAAGGAUUAAGGUCCUAUGGAUUGUAAACUUCUUUUAUAUAGGGAUAAACCUAUCUACGUGUAGAUAGCUGAAGGUACUAUAUGAAUAAGCACCGGCUAACUCCGUGCCAGCAGCCGCGGUAAUACGGAGGGUGCAAGCGUUAUCCGGAUUUAUUGGGUUUAAAGGGUCCGUAGGCGGAUUUGUAAGUCAGUGGUGAAAUCCCGCAGCUCAACUGUGGAACUGCCAUUGAUACUGCAAGUCUUGAGUGUAGUUGAAGUAGCUGGAAUGAGUAGUGUAGCGGUGAAAUGCAUAGAUAUUACUCAGAACACCAAUUGCGAAGGCAGGUUACUAAGUUACAACUGACGCUGAUGGACGAAAGCGUGGGGAGCGAAC